GAUGAACGCUGGCGGCGUGCCUAAUACAUGCAAGUCGAGCGAAUGGAUUAAGAGCUUGCUCUUAUGAAGUUAGCGGCGGACGGGUGAGUAACACGUGGGUAACCUGCCCAUAAGACUGGGAUAACUCCGGGAAACCGGGGCUAAUACCGGAUAAUAUUUUGAACUGCAUGGUUCAAAAUUGAAAGGCGGCUUCGGCUGUCACUUAUGGAUGAACCCGCGUCGCAUUAGCUAGUUGGUGAGGUAACGGCUCACCAAGGCAACGAUGCGUAGCCGACCUGAGAGGGUGGUCGGCCACACUGGGACUGAGACACGGCCCAGACUCCUACGGGAGGCAGCAGUGGGGAAUCUUCCGCAAUGGACGAAAGUCUGACGGAGCAACGCCGCGUGAGUGAUGAAGGCUUUCGGGUCGUAAAACUCUGUUGUUAGGGAAGAACAAGUGCUAGUUGAAUAAGCUGGCACCUUGACGGUACCUACCAGAAAGCCACGGCUAACUACGUGCCAGCCGCCGCCGUAA
rnacentral:rRNA from 1 species